rnacentral:rRNA from 1 species
CGCUGGCGGCGUGCCUAAUACAUGCAAGUCGAACGGUCUUUCUAUGGAAGCUUGCUUCCACUGAGAAGAUAGUGGCGAACGGGUGAGUAACACGUGGGUAACCUGCCCAUAAGAGGGGGAUAACAUCCGGAAACGGGUGCUAAUACCGCAUAGUUUUCUUGAUCGCAUGAUCGGGAAAGGAAAGACGGCCUCUGUGCUGUCGCUUAUGGAUGGACCCGCGGCGUAUUAGUUAGUUGGUGAGGUAACGGCUCACCAAGACGAUGAUACGUAGCCGACCUGAGAGGGUGAUCGGCCACAUUGGGACUGAGACACGGCCCAAACUCCUACGGGAGGCAGCAGUAGGGAAUCUUCCGCAAUGGACGAAAGUCUGACGGAGCAACGCCGCGUGAGUGAAGAAAGGUUUUCGGAUCGUAAAACUCUGUUGUCAGAGAAGAACAAGUUGGAGAGUAACUGCUCCAGCCUUGACGGUAUCUGACCAGAAAGCCACGGCUAACUACGUGCCAGCCGCAGC